rnacentral:rRNA from 1 species
UACGGAGGGUGCAAGCGUUAUCCGGAUUCACUGGGUUUAAAGGGUGCGUAGGCGGGCAGGUAAGUCCGUGGUGAAAUCUCUGAGCUUAACUCAGAAGCUGCCAUGGAUACUAUCUGUCUUGAAUAUUGUGGAGGUAAGCGGAAUAUGUCAUGUAGCGGUGAAAUGCUUAGAUAUGACAUAGAACACCAAUUGCGAAGGCAGCUGGCUACUCGGAUAUUGACACUGAGGCACGAAAAGCGUGGGGAUCAAACAGG